rnacentral:misc_RNA from 1 species
ACAAUUUCCUUGCAACCUUACUAGUAUUUAAUGUUCUUAUUUUUAAUUAUCACUCUUGGAUAUAAUGGUAAAUGUACUGCUUUAUAUUGCUUUUAAAAUUAUGAUUUUAAGAUAUUUACUUCUUUUUCGGUUAUGGCUUUGUACUCCAAAUAUUAUUUUAGCUUGUUUUCACUCUUUACUGUUAUCUGGCUUGGUGCAUCAAAUUAGCUAUAGGGUAGCCCACACAAUGUCACAAUCCAUAAUUGUCUCAA